CCCGCUGAACUUAAGCAUAUCAAUAAGCGGAGGANAAGAAACCAACAGGGAUUGCCCUAGUAACGGCGAGUGAAGCGGCAACAGCUCAAAUUUGAAAUCUGGCCUUCGGGUCCGAGUGUAUUUUUGUAGAGGAUGCUUUUGGUGCGGUACUUUCCGAGUUCCUGGAACGGGACGCCUUAGAGGGUGAGAGCCCCGUACGGUUGGAUACCUAGCCUUUGUAAAGCUCCUUCGACGAGUCGAGUAGUUUGGGAAUGCUGCUCUAAAUGGGAGGUAAAUUUCUUCUAAAGCUAAAUACUGGCCAGAGACCGAUAGCGCACAAGUAGAGUGAUCGAAAGAUGAAAAGCACUUUGAAAAGAGGGUUAAAUAGCACGUGAAAUUGUUGAAAGGGAAGCGUUUAUGACCAGACUUUUUCUAGGCAGAUCAUCCGGUGUUCUCACCGGUGCACUUUGCCUAGUUGAGGCCAGCAUCGGUUUCUAUAGAGGGAUAAAAACAGUGGGAAUGUGGCUCCUCCGGGAGUGUUAUAGCCCAUUGUAUAAUACCUUUACGGGGACCGAGGUUCGCGCUCUGCAAGGAUGCUGGCGUAAUGGUCAUCAACGACCCGUCUUGAAACACGG
rnacentral:rRNA from 1 species